rnacentral:rRNA from 1 species
GACGAACGCUGGCGGCGUGCUUAACACAUGCAAGUCGAACGAAGUGGCGAACGGGUGAGUAACGCGUAAUCAACCUGCCCUUCAGAGGGGGACAACACUUGGAAACGACUGCUAAUACCGCAUACUGAAGGAGUGGCUUGCGUCUGAUUAGCUAGGUGGAGGGGUGACGGCCCACCAAGGCGAGGAACAGUAGACGGUCUGAGAGGAUGAACGGCAAAAGUGGGACUGAGACACGGCCCAGACUCGUACGGGAGGCAGCAGUGGGGAAGCUGACGCAAUGGACGAAAGGCGGACGGAGCAACGCCGCGUGAGGGAGGACGGCCUGCGGGUUGUAAAGCUCUGUUAAUCGGGACGCGGUACCGGAAUAGAAAGCCACGGCUAACUACGUGCCAGCAGCCGCGGUAAUAC